rnacentral:rRNA from 1 species
CCACUAUGCCCAGCCUUAACAAAACAAUCAAAUCACCCAUUGUUCGCCAAAUAACUACGAGUUACAACUUAAAAUUUAAAAGACUUGACGGUACCCCACAACAACCUAGAGGAGCCUGUCCAAUAAACGAUACUCCACGAUUAACCCUACCCACCAUAGCCCACCAGUCUAUAUACCGCCGUCGCCAGCCCACCUCAUGAGAGAAUAAAAGUGAGCCUAAUAGUCCCCACUAAUACGACAGGUCAAGGUGUAACUAAUGGGUGGGACCAAGAUGGGCUACAUUUUCUAACCCAGAACACACGAAUAAACUCUGAAAAAGAAACUGAAGGCGGAUUUAGCAGUAUAUUAAGAACAAAAUACUUAAUUGAAACCAACGCAAUGGGGUGCGCACACACCGCCCGUCAUCCCUGCCACUAAACAAACAUAUCCAUAAUAACAUAUUAAUACAAACCAGGGCAAGUCGUAACAUGGUAAGCGUACUGGAAAGUGCGCUUAGAACAAA